UUCGGGUAAGAACACAGGGAUUGCCUCAGUAACGGCGAGUGAAGCGGCACAGCUCAAUUUGAAAUCUGGCCCUUUCGGGUCCGAGUUGUAAUUUGUAGAGGAUGUUUCGGGUAAGAUCCUGGUCUAAGUUCCUUGGAACAGGACGUCAUAGAGGGUGAGAAUCCCGUACGUGACCGUGGAUCGCACCCGUGUGAAACUCCUUCGACGAGUCGAGUUGUUUGGGAAUGCAGCUCAAAAUGGGUGGUAAAUUUCAUCUAAUGCUAAAUAUUGGCCAGAGACCGAUAGCGCACAAGUAGAGUGAUCGAAAGAUGAAAAGCACUUUGAAAAGAGAGUUAAACAGUAUGUGAAAUUGUUGAAAGGGAAGCGCUUGCAACCAGACUUGUUCCGCGGGUUCAACCCCCCUUUCGGGCGGUGUACUUCCCGCGGUCAGGCCAGUAUCAGUUUGGGCGGAGGGUUAAAGGUCCCGGGAAUGUGAUACCCUUCGGGGUAUGUUAUAGCCCGGGGCGGAAUGCCUCCUGCCCGGACUGAGGAACGCGCUUCAGCUCGGAUACUGGCGUAAUGGUUGUAAGCGACCCUUCUUGAAACACGGACCAAGGAGUCUAACAUCUAUGCCAGUG
rnacentral:rRNA from 1 species